rnacentral:rRNA from 1 species
AUUGAACGCUGGCGGCAUGCUUUACACAUGCAAGUCGAACGGCAGCGCGGGCUUCGGCCUGGCGGCGAGUGGCGAACGGGUGAGUAAUGCAUCGGAACGUGCCCAGUAGUGGGGGAUAGCCCGGCGAAAGCCGGAUUAAUACCGCAUACGACCUGAGGGUGAAAGCGGGGGACCGAAAGGCCUCGCGCUAUUGGAGCGGCCGAUGUCGGAUUAGCUAGUUGGUGGGGUAAAGGCUUACCAAGGCGACGAUCCGUAGCUGGUCUGAGAGGACGAGCAGCCACACUGGGACUGAGACGCGGCCCAGACUCCUACGGGACGCAGCAGUGGGGAAUUUUGGACAAUGGGGGCAACCCUGAUCCAGCCAUGCCGCGUGCGGGAAGAAGGCCUUCGGGUUGUAAACCGCUUUUGUUCGGGAAGAAAUCCUCUGGGCUAAUACCCCGGGGGGAUGACGGUACCGGAAGAAUAAGCACCGGCUAACUACGUG